UCUUAUGGAUGGGCAGAGAAAGUGGUUUCUUGGGAUGGAAGCUACUCCUGUUAUAGAUGCUGUGGA
rnacentral:pre_miRNA from 1 species